CACGUAGGGCGCAAGCGUUGUCCGGAAUUAUUGGGCGUAAAGAGCUCGUAGGCGGUCUGUUGCGUCCGCUGUGAAAACCCGGGGCUUAACCCCUGGCUUGCAGUGGGUACGGACAGACUAGAGGUAGGUAGGGGAGAAUGGAAUUCCCGGUGUAGCGGUGAAAUGCGCAGAUAUCGGGAGGAACACCGGUGGCGAAGGCGGUUCUCUGGGCCUUACCUGACGCUGAGGAGCGAAAGCGUGGGGAGCGAACAGG
rnacentral:rRNA from 1 species